AUGAGGAAAUCCUUAAGACUUUUACUAGUAAUCCUGUGGCUUCAGUUAACCUGUGUGAGGAGCCAACAGAAGGGAGUGGAGCAGAGUCCUGGAUCUCUGCGUGUUCCAGAGGGAGACGUUGCCUCUCUCAACUGCACUUAUAGUGACCGUACUUCCCAGAACUUCAUGUGGUACAGACAGUACUCUGGGAAAGGCCCUGAGUUUCUGGUGUACGCAUACUCCAACAACGACAAGAAUGAAGGAAAAUUUAUAGCUCAGCACAGUAGAGCCGGCCAAUAUAUCUCUCUGCUCAUCAGAGAUUCCCAGCCCAGCGACUCAGCCACCUACCUCUGUGCAGUGAGCACACGGUGCUCCCCCAGCACCUGCAGUCUGUACCCAAACCUGCUGGGGCCCUUCGAAUGCUUGAUAUAG